AGGAUGAACGCUGGCGGCGUGCCUAAUACAUGCAAGUCGAGCGACUGAUUAGAAGCUUGCUUCUAUGACGUUAGCGGCGGACGGGUGAGUAACACGUGGGCAACCUGCCUGUAAGACUGGGAUAACUUCGGGAAACCGAAGCUAAUACCGGAUAGGAUCUUCUCCUUCAUGGGAGAUGAUUGAAAGAUGGUUUCGGCUAUCACUUACAGAUGGGCCCGCGGUGCAUUAGCUAGUUGGUGAGGUAACGGCUCACCAAGGCAACGAUGCAUAGCCGACCUGAGAGGGUGAUCGGCCACACUGGGACUGAGACACGGCCCAGACUCCUACGGGAGGCAGCAGUAGGGAAUCUUCCGCAAUGGACGAAAGUCUGACGGAGCAACGCCGCGUGAGUGAUGAAGGCUUUCGGGUCGUAAAACUCUGUUGUUAGGGAAGAACAAGUACAAGAGUAACUGCUUGUACCUUGACGGUACCUAACCAGAAAGCCACGGCUAACUACG
rnacentral:rRNA from 2 species